AGGGUUCGAUUCUGGCUCAGGAUGAACGCUAGCUACAGGCUUAACACUUGCAAGUCGAGGGGCAGCAUGAUCUUAGCUUGCUAAGAUGAUGGCGACCGGCGCACGGGUGAGUAACGCGUAUCCAACCUUCCCUGUACUAGGGGAUAGCCCGGCGAAAGUCGGAUUAAUACCCUAUGUUUUCCGAAGCGAGCAUUUAAUUUGGAACAAAGGUUUACCGGUAUAGGAUGGGGGAUGCGUCUGAUUAGAUAGUAGGCGGGGUAACGGCCCACCUAGUCGACGAUCAGUAGGGGUUCUGAGAGGAAGGUCCCCCCACAUUGGAACUGAGACACGGUCCAAACUCCUACGGGAGGCAGCAGUGAGGAAUAUUGGUCAAUGGGCGAGAGCCUGAACCAGCCAAGUAGCGUGCAGGAUGACGGCCCUAUGGGUUGUAAACUGCUUUUAUAUAGGGAUAAAGUGAGGGACGUGUCCCUUAUUGUAGGUACUAUAUGAAUAAGGACCGGCUAAUUCCGUGCCAGCAGCCGC
rnacentral:rRNA from 1 species